AACAGGACGGGGCGGGGCCGGGACCGGGGCUAGAAGGAAGGAGGGUCUCUGUUCCCGUCCCGCUUGCCCCCACAAUUCCGACGGGAGAUGCUCUAGGCUGCCACCGGCCCCGGCGCUGGCUCCAGCUGCGGUCCUGACCCUGCUCCCACGAAGGGGACCGAGCGCCCACUGAAGGUGAGAGGUGUGGGUUCUUUGAAUCCUGUUCAGCGUUCUGUUGUGGGAACUGCAUCUUCAAAUACUGUUGCUCAGAUGAGCUAAAGAAGAUUGAUGACGACAUUCUGUGCUCUGGUGACAAGAUCCUAGGUCUAAGGCCACUGCAUUUUACCGAUCACAAAUACGGAAUUUCAGAGUUGAGAGUUCAGAGGUCAUGUACUCCAAACCCAGGGUCACUUAGAGGAAUCUCUUCUACGCACCUUCGAGGAAUGAUCGCCCGGCCUUCACUUGAAGAUCUCUAGUGACAGGAAAGCCAUUGUGUCUAGAAAAAGAACAUUCUACUCUUGAAUAGCACUACUCAUAAAGAAUGUUUUCCUUACAUGAAAUUUUGAAUCAUGUUGUGAAUUUUGUCUUUUUACAACUUCCAGCUAUUGUUCCCUGUCUUGCCUACUGAUAUUAGGCAGAAGUCUGUUCCUAUUUCUGUGUGACUAUCCUUCAGAUACUUUUGUCAUGACUCCAUUCGUCUCUUCUCUGUGGUUGUGAAGAAGACAGUGACAUCAGGGAGAUGAUGACAUGGCUUACGUUGAACUGGAUUUGAGUGAGGGAGGGCUGUGCAAAGUCACUAGCCUCAUUUUCUCUUCCAGAGCCAUCUGGAUCCAGUGGCCAGAUAUAGAUCAGAUGCUGUGGGAGACUUUUGAGUGAGGCAACACCCAUUCAAUGAAUAGGUCUGUUGAAAAAGUGAGUCAAGGGAUGGCCCCUUUAGUAAAAAAAAAAAAAGGCUAAUCCUAGAUAUAAUAGAAACUCAAGGCCCUUCAUCACCUUGGUUUCCCUCCUCUGGACACUCUCUAGUUUACCAAUAUCCUCCUUAACAAGUGGCAUCUAGAAUUGAGCACAGUACAGCAGAGGUUUGAGCAGAGCAGAAUGGCACCAUCACAUCCAUAGUCCUGUAUACUGUGCCAUUCUUUUUUUUUUCUUUUUUUUUUUUUUUUAGGUAAUUGCGGUUAAGUGACUUGCCCAGGGUCACACAGCUAGUAAGUGUGAAGUGUUUGGUCUGAAGCCGGAUUUGAACUCAGGUCCUCCUGACUUCAGGGCUGGUGCUCUAUCCACUGCGCCACCUAGCUGCCCGCAUGUACUGUGCCAUUCUUAAUCUAGCCCAAGAAGGUAUUAGCUUUCUUGGCUUCCAUAUCACACUGUUGACUUACAUUGAGCUUUUAUAGUCCACUAAAAUCCUCAUAUCAUUUUUUCAUGUGAACUGCCCUCCAG
rnacentral:lncRNA from 1 species